rnacentral:rRNA from 1 species
AACAGCAGAUUAACUACCUGCUGUUCAUGCCAGGUAAUUCACCUGAAGUUAAGCAGGUUUGGGCCUGGCUGGUGCUUGGAUGGGGCACCAACUAGGAAAGCUGGGCUGCUGCUG